rnacentral:tRNA from 1 species
GGGUAUAGCUCAGUGGUAGAGCACCUGCUUAGCAUGCAUGAGGUCCUGGGUUCAAUCCCCAGUACCUCCA